AUUCCAUAUUGCUAUAUUCUACUGGUUUCCCCACCUCUCUAGCCUUCCUUUAUAGGCAAGUUGCUGUUUCUUUAUGAACCUUACAGCUUCAGAAAUUGCUUUUGAAAAGGGGACACCUACAUAGUCAGCCCACAUAGGCCCAAGUACAACCUUAGUAAUAAAUGCUCAGUCACCAUUUCAUCAUCCUAGAACAGAAAAUUGUGCAGACUAAUUCAAGGAUGGAAAAUGCAUAGCACUUGUGCUACCACUCUACCUGCACAUCCCUGUGGCACAUAUUGACAGUUGAUAGCAAACUCAUUCUCAUUCAGCCUGAACUCAGCCUCCGAUUCCUUCUUAACACAGAAUUCCAGGCAUUCACUAUCAAUCAGUUGUAGUUGUCACAAAGUGGACAUAUUUGAAAUAAAUGCUUUUAGGAAAAAUGUCACAGAAUAAUAUGGUUCUAGAGUUGGUGAAUAAGGAAGAAAUUUUUGUCUCUCUCUGCAAAAUAAAAAUAUCUUUUGGGAAUUGUUCUAAGGUAAUUAGUUGUGUG
rnacentral:lncRNA from 1 species